rnacentral:rRNA from 1 species
CAAUAGCGUAUAUUAAAGUUGUUGCAGUUAAAAAGCUCGUAGUUGGAUUUCUGAAUGGAUGCCGAUGCCCGCCUGUUGGCGUGUGCAAAGGUGCCCGUUCAUCCUUCUGUUAAGGUUUCUUAGUAUUCAUUUACUGGUUUCCGGCUCAGAUAUUUUACCUUGAAUAAAUUAGAGUGUUUCAGGCAAGCUUGGUCUUGAAUACAUUAGCAUGGAAUAAUAGAAUAGGACUCUAGAUCCUUUGUUGGUUUCUGGAUUUGGAGUAAUGAUUAAUAGGGAUAGUUGGGGGCAUUAGUAUUUAAUUGUCAGAGGUGAAAUUCUUGGAUUUAUUAAAGACUAACUUAUGCGAAAGCAUUUGCCAAGGAUGUUUUCAUUA